rnacentral:rRNA from 1 species
GAUGAACGCUAGCUACAGGCUUAACACAUGCAAGUCGAGGGACCGGCGCCCGGGUGAGUAACACGUAUCAAACCUUCCCUUUCCUCGGGGAAAGCCUUUCGAAAGAAAGAUUAAUACACGAUAUAAAGGAUGAGGAUGCGUUCCAUUAGGUUGUUGGUAUGGUAUCGGCACACCAAGCCUUCGAUGGAUAGGGGUUCUGAGAGGAAGAUCCCUCACGUUGGAAAUAAGACACGGUCCAAACUGCUACGGGAGGAAGGAGAGAGUAAUAUUGGUCAAGGAGCGUUAGCCGGAAACAGCCAAGUAGGGGGAAGGAUGUAGGCGUAUGGGUCGUAAACUGUUUUUAGAGAAGAAUAUGUAUUAUAUCAAAAAGGAUCGGCUAACUCCGUGCCAGCAGCCGCGGUAAUAC